UACGUAGGUGGCAAGCGUUAUCCGGAUUUACUGGGUGUAAAGGGCGUGUAGGCGGGACUGCAAGUCAGAUGUGAAACCCAUGGGCUCAACCCAUGGCCUGCAUUUGAAACUGUAGUUCUUGAGUGAUGGAGAGGCAGGCGGAAUUCCGUGUGUAGCGGUGAAAUGCAUAGAUAUUACACAGAACACCGAUUGCGAAGGCAGCUUGCUAGGCCGGAUCUGACACUGAUGCACGAAAGCGUGGGGAUCGAACAGG
rnacentral:rRNA from 1 species